rnacentral:rRNA from 1 species
UACGUAGGGGGCAAGCGUUGUCCGGAAUUAUUGGGCGUAAAGCGCGCGCAGGCGGUUGGAUAAGUCUGGUGUAUAAACCAAGGGCUCAACCUUUGGACGCAUUGGAAACUGUUGGACUGGAGUGUAGGAGAGGAAAGUGGAAUUCCACGUGUAGCGGUGAAAUGCGUAGAGAUGUGGAGGAACACCAGUGGCGAAGGCGACUUUCUGGCCUAUAGCUGACGCUGAGGCGCGAAAGCGUGGGGAGCAAACAGG